rnacentral:lncRNA from 1 species
NGCCCUGCCAGGAACUGGGGGGAGCAGAGCUCAGCCCCCCCCUCCAUCAACCCCCCAAAUAUCCCAGCCCAGACCCCCUCGGGAGGGCAGCCUGAGCACCCCGGCUGCUCUUAGAGGUGGGGGUCCCGCAGGGGAGGGGCCCUGCUGAGCAGUUGGGUGGGUGCACACAGCUUUGGGGUGCUGGGGAGGGGGAACGUCCUCCCCUGGAGGAGUGGAAGCGCCUGGCUCCCGUUAUCCCCCACAAGGCUGAACGCCCCCAUCCUCCACGCCCGAGUGCUCAGGAAGGGCCGGGAGCCGCCUGUGCUCCCCCAUCGCUGUCGCCAUGGCAACAGCAGCCCGUGCUCAUCCCGCAUCCAUCCCGCAUCCCGCAUCCCGCAUCCAUCACCCCGCCUCCCCCGCGGCGUCCUGCCUUCCCUGUCCCUCAUCCCUCACCCUGCACCCCAGAUUCCGGAUCCUGCAGCGAUCAUCCCGCACCCCUCAUCCUGCAUUUCACAUUCCCGCAUCCCUCAUUAUCCAUCCCGCACCCCUCAUCCUGCAUUUCACAUUCCCGCAUCCCUCAUUAUCCAUCCCGCACCCCUCACCCUGCAUUUCACAUUCCUGAAUCCCUCAUUAUCCAUCCCGCACCCCUCACCCUGCAUUUCACAUUCCUGCAUCCCUCAUUAUCCAUCCCGCACCCCUCAUCCUGCAUUUCACAUUCCCGCAUCCCUCAUUAUCCAUCCCGCACCCCUCACCCUGCAUUUCACAUUCCCGCAUCCCUCAUUGUCCAUCCCGCAUCCCAAUCCCGCAUCCCUCAUCCCACACCUCCCCCUUCCCCUGCUCCCCACCCUCUGCCCGGGGUUAUUUCUCUCUCCCGGGGGGAAUUUUUGGCAGCUGUGGGGGGGGAUUGACACCGUGGGGGUCUUCGUGUCACUUGGCAAUCACGGGCAGGGGGCACCCCCGGCAGGACCCGCAGGGCGGGACGGGAGCUCCCCCGCCCUGUGGGGUGCAGGGCUGAAGGAGCAGAUUUGGGGGGGCUCCUGGGGGUGGGAAGGACAC